UUCAUAAGCACAGCCGUCAGACCACCUUUGUCCUUGGGAGUAUGUCUUGCCGUUGUAAUAGCACUUUCCGUCUGAAGAAAUAAAGCUAAAAAAAGAUUUUUACUGUGAUUGAUACUCACAAUAUCCUGGUUGUCCCUUUGCAUCAGGACCUAAGUGAUAAAAGGAAAUGAUUAUGAUGAAGCUUGUACCGAGCAUCAAAAUUGUUGACAACGUAAACGUGAGAAGCAUCUGGAUCAGUGGCCAUAGCAUCUAAUUCCUGUUUGUUGGCGGUUCCAACGCCGAUAGAGAAGACCGUGACGCCCUGUUGCUGUAGUCGCUGAGCUUCA